rnacentral:rRNA from 1 species
UACGUAGGGGGCAAGCGUUGUCCGGAUUCAUUGGGCGUAAAGCGCGCGUAGGCGGUUCGGUAAGUCGGGUGUGAAAACACGAGGCUCAACCUCGUGCGUGCAUCCGAUACUGCCGGACUAGAGGUAGGUAGGGGAGAUCGGAAUUCCUGGUGUAGCGGUGAAAUGCGUAGAUAUCUGGAGGAACACCGGUGGCGAAGGCGGCAUCCUGGACCGAUACUGACACUGAGGAGCGAAAGCCAGGGGAGCAAACGGG